UACGUAGGGUGCGAGCGUUGUCCGAAAUUAUUGGGCGUAAAGAGCUCGUAGGCGGCCUGUCGCGUCGGAUGUGAAAGCCCGGGGCUUAACCCCGGGUCUGCAUUCGAUACGGGCAGGCUAGAGUUCGGUAGGGGAGAUCGGAAUUCCUGGUGUAGCGGUGAAAUGCGCAGAUAUCAGGAGGAACACCGGUGGCGAAGGCGGCCCUCUGGACGGAUACUGACGCUGAGACGCGACAGCGUGGGGAGCAAACAGG
rnacentral:rRNA from 1 species